CUUCGCUUAAAAACGUUUUUAGUUAGCAACGGUUUACCAUCGUGUACAGAUAUAUAAAUUAUUAAAUCACCCUGUGUAUACACGCAUAUAAAGAUAUAUAUUUUUUUUAUCUUUUUUUUUUUUUUUUUUUUUACAAUUGUACGUACACACAAAUAAAAAUAUUGUACUCGGACGUGAACAACGCAGACGUCACAUAUUAUACUCGGUUGCAGAGACGGGAAUGAGAGGUGCAGUUUUGUGCGCGGUUGCAUCACUCUCGUCUACACAAAUAUAUAUUUUUAUAUACGGCGGGGAGCUGGCGACGGAAAGGGGGACGGUUAUACAAGUAUAAUAUAUAAUGCAGAAAAACAAAACAAAACGGUUGUACGCGCGAGUGUUUUUGAGGGAGGCGGACAAUAAUAAUAUAAUAUCGUACCAAUGUCGUGUGUAUAUGUAUAUAUAUAAAUAAUACAUCUAUGAAUUAUGGAUGGAAACCUCCGUCGUCGGUCGUCGCGGUCUCUGAAGUGGUCGUAUUCGUUGUAUGUAAGUAUUUUAUAUUAUUGCACUGUGCAUACGAUAUAUAACGUAUAGUUGCGACAGUAAAUC